AUCACCCCAUCCCCUGUUUUCGUGUGCUUUUUCAUCCUCUUACCUUCCUCCUCAUUUUAUAUGCUUUCUCGUCCUCUUACUCUCCCAUCUAGUUAACGUGAGACAAGGGUGUUGACUGUGCAGCGCAGAACCAGUAGUUUGUAGAGAAGAACCAGGUGUGAUGUUGAAUCUGCUAGACAGGCUACUGAAGCAAAAGUCAAGAGAUCCAGAUCCCAUCAUGGGGACACUUUAGGGAUAGCCUUGCAAGGAAGCUACUUUCCUUCGGCACACAUAGACAGGACUCUACCAGAUAGCAAACAGGAUGUA
rnacentral:lncRNA from 1 species